rnacentral:rRNA from 1 species
UACGGAGGGUGCAAGCAUUAAUCGGAUUUAUUGGGCGUAAAGGACGCGUAGGCGGUGAAGUCAGUCGGGUGUGAAAUCCCGGAGCUCAACUCCGGAACAGCACUCGAAACUGCUUCUCUAGAGGGUAGGCGGGGAAAACGGAAUUCCACAAGUAGCGGUGAAAUGCGUAGAUAUGUGGAAGAACACCUGUGGCGAAAGCGGUUUUCCAGCUUAUUCCUGACGCUGAGGCGUGAAAGCAAGGGGAGCAAACAGG